ACUAACCUGCCGUUAAACCCACCUGAGUAGUACCGGUGCCCGCCCUAAACUCAAAGAAUUUGGCGGCCCUUCACCUUAUUAGAGGAACCUGCCCCGUAAUCGACGGUCCACGAGCCACCCGACCCCUCCUCACAGCUUGUAUACCGCCGUUUAGAGUGAAUUCGAAGAUUCACUCGCGAUUAAAUUAUUAAGUAAUUCAGGUCAAGGUGCAGCCCAUGGAGGGGAGGAGGUGGGUUACAAUGAGACAUGCCCGGACCUGGCCAUGAAAAGGCCCGUGAAGUUGGAUUUAAAUGUAAUUCCUGCUAGAUUGGCAAAGCCCUGAAGCGU
rnacentral:rRNA from 1 species